rnacentral:misc_RNA from 1 species
GAACUGCGAUAAGUAAUGUGAAUUGCAGAAUUCAGUGAAUCAUCGAGUCUUCGAACGCACAUUGCGCCCCCUGGCAUUCCGGGGGGCAUGCCUGUCCGAGCGUCAUUGCUGCCCUUCAAGCCCGGCUUGUGUGUUGGGUCGUCGUCCCCUCCGGGGGACGGGCCCGAAAGGCAGCGGCGGCACCGCGUCCGGUCCUCGAGCGUAUGGGGCUUUGUCACCCGCUCGAUAAGGACCGGCCGGGCGCCAGCCGGCGUCUCCAACCUUUUUUUCUCAGGUUGACCUCGGAUCAGGUAGGGAUACCCGCUGAACUUAAGC